rnacentral:lncRNA from 1 species
GGAUCUCAAACAAGAGUUGUCAGAGGCAAUUUGCAUACCUGCUUCCAGAUAAUUUGCUUACAGUUCUUCGGCUACACUCCUCCCUUCUACCCGCCUCCACCCAGCCCCGGGCUCCCGGUUCAAAGCGGUAAAGUGAGGACGACAGGCGACAAAACCCCUUUCAGGGCCCUCACCCUGUCUGCACACCCCGUUAGAAGGCUGGCCUGGGGGGAAGACUCGAGAUCAGAGCUGUGGGCCCCCAAGGCGGCCCCGCGGGGCUUUCCGCCAGACACCGCCUCCCCACGCCCGGACACCAUCUGCUUCCUCCCGGAGUCAUCAAAAGCCAGUGCACGUGCUCGCGCCCCACCCCCGCCCACUCAGAGAGGUAGCCUGGGGAGGGGCGGGGUGAAGGAGAUUCGAACCCCUGGUCCCUUCCAAGGCCCCGGGCGCCUUGUUUAUUCAGCCCGCUCCAGGCUUCUCCUCCCGCUGGCCUCCCGGAGAGUUCCUCUUUCGGGAGUCUGCAACCGUGCGCGGGGCGGAUGCCGGGGUAGUACGCUGCACCCUCUUCCCUGCCCGGUGGUACAGAAGGGUCAGACCCGGCGCAGUCUGCAGUUUCCGGCCACGGCGACGACACCAGUCCCGCAGGGAGGAGGCCAAACGGGGACCAGGGGCCAACUGGCCUGGGAACUUCCGUCCCGGCUCCCUGACACCGGAGGCCCCCUGGGAAGUCCCAGCAGAUGUGUCCAGGGUCAGAGACCUCGGAGCCAAGGAUGGGGCAGAGGUCUGAGACAUGAAGCUGGAAAACCAAGUCCAGUCUUGCUGAACCCUGACCCCUUUACACACCCAAUAAGGAAGGUGAAGGACUUGAGGUAUCUGACUGAGAGGGCUGGAUUCUGUCUUCAUCUUAGCUGAUAUUUUGUUCGUCAUGGAUUUUUGUUUCUUUCAUUAACUUUAAUUUUUUUUUAAUAUUGUAUUAACACAUUAUUUAUC